ensembl:snRNA U6 U6 spliceosomal RNA
GUGCUUGCUUCAGCUGCACAUAUUUUAAAAUUGAAAUGAUACAGAGGAUUAGCGCAGCCCCUGUGCAGGCAUAUUCAUGUAAUGUUCCAUAUUUAA